GCUGGAAUGGCCGAGUCGUUAAGGCGAUAGAUUUGAAUUAUCAUAUCUAUUACUCAUUGAGUGCGUAGGUUCAAAUCCUGCUUCCAGCG
rnacentral:tRNA from 1 species